UACAGAGGUCCCGAGCGUUGUUCGGAUUCACUGGGCGUAAAGGGUGCGUAGGUGGCUGGGAAAGUUUGAUGUGAAAGCUCAGGGCUUAACCCUGAAAUGGCAUUGAAUACUGCCUGGCUGGAGGUUUGGAGGGGGGACUGGAAUUCUUGGUGUAGCAGUGAAAUGCGUAGAUAUCAAGAGGAACACCAGUGGCGAAGGCGAGUCCCUGGACAACACCUGACACUGAGGCACGAAAGCCGGGGGAGCAAACGGG
rnacentral:rRNA from 1 species